rnacentral:rRNA from 1 species
UACGGAGGAUGCGAGCGUUAUCCGGAUUUAUUGGGUUUAAAGGGUGCGUAGGCGGGCUUUUAAGUCAGCGGUAAGAAUUCGGGGCUCAACCCCGUCCGGCCGUUGAAACUGGGGGUCUUGAGUGGGCGAGAAGAAGGCGGAAUGCGUGGUGUAGCGGUGAAAUGCAUAGAUAUCACGCAGAACCCCGAUUGCGAAGGCAGCCUUCCGGCGCCCAACUGACGCUGAAGCACGAAGGCGUGGGUAUCGAACAGG